AGCAGCCGCGGUAAUUCCAGCUCCAAUAGCGUAUAUUAAAGUUGUUGCAGUUAAAAAGCUCGUAGUUGAAUUUCGGGAUCAGUACGCUGGUCGUGCCUUCGGUAUGUACUGGUGUUACUGGUUCCUACCUUCCGACGAACCGUCAUGUCAUUAAUUUGGUGUGGCGGGGAAUCAGGACUGUUACUUUGAAAAAAUUAGAGUGUUUAAAGCAGGCUCGCGCUUGAAUACAUUAGCAUGGAAUAAUGAAAUAGGACGUUCGAUCCUAUUUUGUUGGUUUCUAGGAUUGACGUAAUGAUUAAUAGGGAUAGUUGGGGGCAUUAGUAUUCAAUUGUCAGAGGUGAAAUUCUUGGAUUUAUUGAAGACUAACUACUGCGAAAGCAUUUGCCAAGGAUGUUUUCAUUAAUCAAGAACGAAAGUUAGGGGAUCGAAGACGAUCAGAUACCGUCGUAGUCUUAACCAUAAACUAUGCCGACUAGGGAUCGGAUGAUGUUAAUUUUUAAUGACUCAUUCGGCGCCUUAA
rnacentral:rRNA from 1 species